UCCAAGACUUUGUGCGGCUAUGUUCAAUAGAUGGCUGGGCCUCUAGAUGCUCGGAGGGUCUGUAGUUACCGCCUUGUCUGACAGAGGUAACCCAGCCUCUGGCUGGCCCCUGUUCCAGAGCCGGAGGGCUGGAUUCUCCUUGGUCUUCACACUCCAGCUCUGUACAACUCUCUCCAGCUAAGUCUACCUCAGGGCUCCCAGACGCCUCAUCCAGCUCCUCUUCAGACAGGUCUAGAUGUUGGUUGUGCCUGGAGAGCCAGGGCAGAGGCACGGUGGAACCUUCUGGGCUGCUAACAUCGUCAGCUUCAGUCUCUGGAAAGACAGGUCAUUCACUGCUGAGCCCGUGCUGGGUCUAUAAUGCCACCUGAAUCACUUCAUGACCUAAUGAUGCUGAGGAUGGCAAGAACCUAGAGCCACCCACACAUAAUCAGCCCACCGCAGAGCAGCCUGCCCCAUCACAGAGGCCCCUGCGUGCAAAAAGAGGAACGGCCAGUUUUCUGCAGUGACUCAGCCGCAAAAAUCUCACUGUUCUCCAGAGAGCCCACACAUCACAGGCAGCAACAGUCUGAGGCUACAGUUUUGCACCCAUUUCUCAAGUGCCUCAACUUGUGAGCUUUUCCUGAGAAAGACCUUAUUCUUCUGUGCCGACCACGGCCCUUGGUGCCAUGGAGCCUGGAACUGGACAGACAGGUAGUCAAUCAGCAAACACACAUCCAUGUCAAACGUGUACCAACCUCAGGCAGAGAUGAAGUUGCAAUAGAGUAGAGGCUGAGCACCAGGCAAGCAGACCCCAGCCCUGAGGCUCCAGCCACUCGAGGCAGUGGCUGGCUGGCUGCUCCUCUCUGUAUAGGGGAACAGUGGUCACCUAGGCCUGCUCCUGCUGCACCCAUCCCUCUGUCUGGUGAGCACCCUGGCCCUCAGAGAGGCACCAAAUGAACUUGGAGGCUCUCAGCCCCUAGGAUACAGAAAAACUCCCUUGCCAAGAUCCCACCCUCCGUGGAGGACGAAAUCCAGAAAAGCUGCUGAAGAAGGAAGUUUGGUGACGGCUUUAACAGACCAAGCAAAUCUAGGGGAGAAAGAGGAAGGGGAAUCGGGACAAGGAACGGCACAGACAAAGGCACAGAGGUCUGAAAACACAAGCUGAACUUCAAGGAGGGCUCAGGGCCUAGCCCCUGAGUGCCACAGACAGCCAGGGAGGUCCGGACAGCUGUCAGGGCAGCAGUGGAUGCUCGGGAUACGAACUAUGAUGUCCUGACCCAGGAGGGUCAGCCCCUCUAUAACUAAGUCCUGCGAAUGGUUCGGCCAUUGGGCUAAGGGUCCCCACCUGCCCCCAGAGAAACUGUACCCCACCCCCAAAACACCAAACACUUCUUUUUCUAUGCCCUUGUUUCUUACCACCUAACACCUGUACAGAUCUGAUCUCCAUGUUGUAACACCCUCCAGGGAUUCUAUUUAGUUCCUGGCUAGGCAAUGCCCUGUUCCCCACUGCUUCUGCUUCACACAGCUCUCUGUCUCUCUCUCUCUCUGUCUCUCUGUCUCUCUGUCUCUCUGUCUCUCUGUCUCUCUCUCUCUCUCUGUGUGUGUGUGUGUGUGUGUGUGUGUGUGUGUAUGUGUGUGUGUGUGUGUGUGUGUGUGUGUGUGGUGAGAGAAGGAUGUUCCUGUCUUGGGCCAUUACAAAGUCUAAGGGCCCUUUACACCACUCAACACACUAUGCUCCAGAAUGAUCCUCGUCCACUGAAGCUGCCUUGGCAUUCAAAAGCUCCAUGCUAUCCAGCCAAGGAUAGCCAGGGCAUCCCCACUUUAACCUCAUUCCAACGAGGAAACAGAGGCAGGCACCUAAUGAGAACAGCCAGGAAGUUUAGAAGAACACCGUGGCUAUUAAACCAAGGUCAGGAGGUGUAUAGGAGGCAGGAGGAUGGCAGGGGAAAGACCUCCAUACAACGCUGCUGGACCCUUCUAAAGGGCUGGGCUGUGGGGCUCCAAAGCAAGUUUGGACCAGCGGCAGGGCACAGACCUGUUCACAAGAGUGGCCUUUGGCCUGCAUCGAGUAGAGAUACCCACUACGGAUGUCCCCAGACUGUCCCUGACUCACCCAAGUAUCCGGGGAGGAACUAAAAAGGGGCCAGGCUUUUACUGAUUCUCAUCUUGCCCUACUUUAGGUCUUAGCUGGCCUCCUGGUCCCCAGAAUGUUGACUUUGUCCCUGCCCUUACAUGGGUAGGAGGGUGUCAUCUCCUGGCCUGCUCCCCACUUCCGUACAUCUCUUGAGACCCUCAGCAACCCAAACACUAACUGGCCUUGAGAUGGAGCCCACCCUGGGCGCGGAGAGGGACCAAUACCCGUCCAAGUUCACCAAGGGAACCAAAUCAGAGCUGGAACUGGAAACUAGCAUCUUGAAGUCCACUCUGGCCUGGGGGCCGGACUCCCAGAACUGGACAGGAGUGGCAGCAGCUGCGUAGCUGCGAUUUCCUGGCUGGGCUGGGCUGACUGCCAGGGUUGUCCAGAGUCUAUGACUGGCCCAUCCAGAGGGAAGGCGGCCUUCCCUCUGGCCCUCCUCCUGCCUCAGCUCCUUACCUCACUUGGUCUACACCACCAUCCAGCCGGCCUGGGCUCAGGGGAGCUGCCCACAAGGUCUUUGUUUCAAACCCAGGGAGCCCCCUGCCUACACAGCACCCUGGACCGCCUCCAGACUGCUCUGCCAGCCAGAACCGCCUCAGCUCACAGACAAGCAUCGCUCCCCACUUCUCCCCGCCCCUGCAGCUGAGGCCUGGCCUUGCCUCCUCCUCCUCCUCCUUGCAGGAAGCGCCCAGCCUGAUUUCCUACAAGUGUUUGUGAAAAGGGGAGGGGGGGGGCGAUUUACUGUGCAGAGCUGGCGCCAAGAGCUUAACCCUUUGCUGGGCAAGUGUGGGGCUGCAUUGAUGGGAAGAGCUCACAGAAACUUCUGAGGCCUUGAGUUUGGGACCACCUCAGCCGCAGCCCUGCUUGUACCAGCAGGAAGUCCAGAGAAGGCUUGGCUAGUCAUAUUGCAUGCUGGGCCCAGGGAGAGGACCCUGCAGUUCCUCCACUCCCCACUCCAAAAUUGGUCUCUUCCACCACCAAUGACUUUAUCAGAACCUCUCCUCCCACUUCGUAGGUCUCAUUGCCCAUCCUAGUUGGGGGGGGGGUAGGGGGCGGGGAAGAGUGGAGAGACACAGGACUCAGACUUGGUGCUCGCCCAUGCCCUUCCAGCUUUCACUCUGUCUACUAAUACAAAUCUCAUCAUCUCAGGGUGGAUUUGGGGAUUUCUGCCCUUCCACUUACUGUCCAUGCCUGGAGAUAAGAUGCGUCUGCAUUGGACUUGUCUAGAUAUCUUUCAGAAUCUUUCUGUUCUGGAGAAACACCCCACCCCACCACGGCCUCAAGGGAUCUCCUCAAACACAAGCUUUCAAACCAGCCAUCCACAGGCUUGCCACUUCGUCUGCUCUCCUGCUAGCACUAGGGCAGAGGCUGCAGCCUGGCCCUGUUCCAGCCUCCCUCACUCCCUCCUUGCCUGCUUCAGUACCCAACUCCCUGAUGUUCCCCAGGAGGGCUUCUCACCAAUGAUCACCUAUACUCCCUACUGACUCUGAGCUGCAUGCAGACCUGCUCCUGAACGACCUCCUUAGGACUUGCCAUCUGUCCUGAUGCUCACUUGUGGCCAGGGCUGGCCUCUCGACUCCUGGGAGGCGCUCUUGAAACUUUCACUACUAAAUCCCCUGUCCCCAGCGUGGGCUGACACAUGACAGAAACACAACCGAUGCAUUCAGGAUCGUCCACUGCAUCUGGCCAGCUGCCCAGGUAGGUAGUUGCCUGUAGCCCCCUAACACUUAUCAAGACUAGUGUGAGGAGCCCAUUUCACAGAUGAGUACACAAGGUCCCUAGAGCCCACACAACUUGCCCAAGGCCACAAAGCUGGUGAACCUGGUACAGACCCAGAUGCAUGAGGACCUGGCUCCUCCUGACCAAGACUAGUGUUCACCCCAUCCAGGCUGUAGAGAUCCUAAAGCCCGCGCACAGGGGAGCCUAGAGUGGAGCCUAAGGCCUAGGCUACAGUUCCUCCUUUGCAAAGGGAAGCCCUGCUCUCCCCUGUGGUUCUUCAUUGCUUCCUCAUCCUUUGCCUCAGACACAGUUACAAGUGUGUUUUCCCACGGCUCAGAGGAGGAAACUGAGGCACAGAAGGGAGAUAUUAGUUCUUGGCCACCCUGACAAGAAAACAAAAGUAAGACCCUGUACCCUGGCCACCAGAUGGUAUCUGGAGCACAGCUGAUUGCCCCAGUCUUGGGUCCAGAAACAUCGCUGGAUCUGCCCUCCCUUGAUUCUCCUGGAGGCCAGAGGUCCAGCGGAGAGCCACAAGCAGGCCAGUCAUCGUAGGAGAUCAGAGUGAGACACCAUAGGAGUGGGUCUAUCAUUUCAUCAUGACCCUUCUGAGUCCUGGCUCUCCUUUCCUGGGAAAAGUCACUCUCCCUUCCUGCCCAGGAGGCUCACCUUCCAGGACAAAGUUCAUAGUGCAUCUGGGCAGGGGCGGUGUCACAGAGGAAGGACCAAGGAGAGUCAUAGAAGCCGGGUCUGACUCCCAGGUCACCUGGGACCCGGGUGUUCCUCUCGAUGAGCUUUGGGUAUGUAGUAUCAAGAGAGGGUCACCAAAAGGCUGGACAGACAGCUCAGCAGUGCACUGGGACUUGGGUUCAGUUCCCAGUGUUUAUAUGAUGGUUC